GAUGAACGCUAGCUACAGGCUUAACACAUGCAAGUCGAGGGGUAGCAGGGUAGCAAUACCGCUGACGACCGGCGCACGGGUGAGUAACACGUAUCCAACCUUCCCAUAACUCGGGGAUAGCCUUUCGAAAGAAAGAUUAAUACCCGAUAGUACUUUAUUAAGGCAUCUUAAGAAAGUUAAAGAUUUAUUGGUUAUGGAUGGGGAUGCGUUCCAUUAGAUAGUUGGUGAGGUAACGGCUCACCAAGUCUUCGAUGGAUAGGGGUUCUGAGAGGAAGGUCCCCCACAUUGGUACUGAGACACGGACCAAACUCCUACGGGAGGCAGCAGUGAGGAAUAUUGGUCAAUGGGCGAGAGCCUGAACCAGCCAAGUAGCGUGAAGGAUGAAGGUCCUAUGGAUUGUAAACUUCUUUUAUAGUAGAAUAAAGUGAACCACGUGUGGUUUUUUGUAUGUAUACUAUGAAUAAGGAUCGGCUAACUCCGUGCCAGCCGCCGCCGUAAUAC
rnacentral:rRNA from 1 species